rnacentral:misc_RNA from 1 species
GUGAAUCAUCGAAUUUUUGAACGCAAAUUGCACUCUCCUCGGAGAGUAUGCCUGUUUGAGGGUCAGCCUAUAAAAAAUCGAAAACGUUGCUGUUUCGCGGUGGCGAUCGUCGGAAAUUGGGUCACCUUAAAUCCUUUUGAAUUAAGCGACGUACAAUUAUCGUUUGGUUCUAUGAACGUUUCUAAGAUCUAUUUCUUUACACGUUUAAGGUAUCUAUUUUUAUUAGAAGUGACCAUCAUAAUGGAU